UACAGAGGUCCCAAGCGUUGUUCGGAUUCACUGGGCGUAAAGGGUGCGUAGGUGGUUGCGCAAGUCUGAUGUGAAAUCUCCGGGCUCAACCUGGAAAUGGCAUUGGAAACUGCGUGGCUAGAGGGUUGGAGGGGGGACUGGAAUACUUGGUGUAGCAGUGAAAUGCGUAGAUAUCAAGUGGAACACCAGUGGCGAAGGCGAGUCCCUGGACAACACCUGACACUGAGGCACGAAAGCUAGGGGAGCAAACAGG
rnacentral:rRNA from 1 species